rnacentral:rRNA from 1 species
CCACCCCGCAGCACUAGACUGCGAGUUGUGCGUCUCUAAGCUAUGGUAGAGACGCGGCGUACGGCUCAGUAACACGUGGCUAACCUACCCUUAGGACGGGGACAACCCCGGGAAACUGGGGCUAAUAUCCGAUAGGUGAGGAGGCCUGGAAUGGUUCCUAGUCGAAAAGGCGUUGAAACCAUGCUUUUCGACGUCGCCUAAGGAUGGGGCCGCGCCCGAUCAGGUUGUUGGUGGGGCAACGGCUCACCAAGCCUAUAACCGGUACGGGCCGUGAGAGCGGGAGCCCGGAGAUGGGCACUGAGACAAGGGCCCAGGCCCUACGGGGCGCAGCAGUCGCGAAAACUCCGCAAUGCGCGAAAGCGUGACGGGGCUACCCCGAGUGCCGUCCGCUGAGGAUGGCUUUUCCCCGGUGUAAUGAGCCGGGGGAAUAAGGAGAGGGCAAGUCUGGUGUCAGCCGCCGCGGUAAUACCAGCUCUCCGAGUGGUAGGGAUGAUUAUUGGGCUUAAAGCGUCCGUAGCCGGCUUAGCAAGUCUCCUGUUAAAUUCAGCGACCUAAUCGUUGAGCCGCGGGAGAUACUACUAGGCUAGGAGGCGGGAGAGGUCGACGGUAUUCUCGGGGUAGGGGUGAAAUCCUAUAAUCCCGGGAGGACCACCAGUGGCGAAGGCUGUCGGCUAGCACGCGCUCGACGGUGAGGGACGAAAGCUGGGGGAGCAAACCGGAUUAGAUACCCGGGUAGUCCCAGCUGUAAACGAUGCGGGCUAGGUGUUGGGGUGGCUACGAGCCACUUCAGUGCCGCAGGGAAGCCGUUAAGCCCGCCGCCUGGGGGAGUACGGCCGCAAGGCUGAAACUUAAAGGAAUUGGCGGGGGAGCACCACAAAGGCGUGAAGCUUGCGGUUCAAUUGGAGUCAACGCCGGG